GUGAGGGAGGGAGAGGGUGACUAGUGACAGAGUGAGGAAGGGGGUGACACUCUCACUAGUCACCCCUUCCCUCCCUCACUCUGUCACUAGUCACACCCUCCCUCUCUCUGU